UACGGAGGGUGCAAGCGUUAUCCGGAUUCACUGGGUUUAAAGGGUGCGUAGGCGGGUUGGUAAGUCCGUGGUGAAAUCCCCAAGCUUAACUUGGGAACUGCCGUGGAUACUAUCAAUCUUGAAUAUCGUGGAGGUAAGCGGAAUAUGUCAUGUAGCGGUGAAAUGCUUAGAUAUGACAUAGAACACCAAUUGCGUGGGCAGCUUACUACACGAUCAUUGACGCUGAGGCACGAAAGCGUGGGGAGCAAACAGG
rnacentral:rRNA from 1 species